UGUGCAUUUCAUUUAGGACAGAUAAUCUCAACUGUUUUGGGGCAAGUUGACCAUGACGGUCAACAUGGUAAUGCUGCCCGAACCCCAAUCCGGGACGAAACGUCCGAAACUGACCAUACUGCUAUCUACCAAACCAUAAAAGCUUUGGCUAUUCUGAGGUGCUUAUAUGGUUCAGAGAUGGUACUUUUGGGGGUGGUCAUUGGUACGUGUGAAAUGCCUAGCACUAAUAUUUCACAAGAAAAUGACCAUGCAAUAAUCAUAGUUAAACGUCAAUUUGUGGCUUGCAACUUCAGAUAAACAGCAGUGGACUUACAUUACCUUUUUCCCUAAAUCUUUUUGAUAGAAACAUAAUUGGUACUUAUUUAAAUAU